GUGUCAGCAGCCGCGGUAAAACGUAGGAUCCGAGCGUUAUCCGAAUUUACUGGGCGUAAAGCGCGUGUAGGCGGUUCGAUAAGUUGGAUGUGAAAUCUCCUGGCUCAACUGGGAGAGGUCGUUCAAUACUGUCGGACUAGAGGGUGGUAGAGGGAGGUGGAAUUCCCGGUGUAGUGGUGAAAUGCGUAGAUAUCGGGAGGAACACCUGUGGCGAAAGCGGCCUCCUGGCCCACUCCUGACGCUCAGACGCGAAAGCUAGGGGAGCGAACGGGAUUAGAUACCCCUGUAGUCC
rnacentral:rRNA from 1 species